AAAACAUAAAACGGUUGGAGGAUUUGCCCUCAUACAGACUUCUUAAUUGAUAGGCAUGACAUUUUAUAAUGUUUUUGUUGUGAGCAAAAGGGAAGUAGUGAUUUUCUUGCCUGUUAUGAGUUUUGUUAGAAUUAGAUGCAUUUUGAUGGUAGGUGGUUGUGUAUUUGUCUUUGUUAGAGGCGGAGAACGUAUAUAACAGGCUUCUCCAGUGAUUCUGCCACAUUUGGUGCUGGCUUGUGGAGUCGGCAAUAUCUUCAUUUUG
rnacentral:misc_RNA from 1 species